UACGAAGGGGGCUAGCGUUGCUCGGAAUCACUGGGCGUAAAGCGCACGUAGGCGGACUCUUAAGUCGGUGGUGAAAUCCUGGAGCUCAACUCCAGAACUGCCUUCGAUACUGAGAGUCUUGAGUUCGGGAGAGGUGAGUGGAACUGCGAGUGUAGAGGUGAAAUUCGUAGAUAUUCGCAAGAACACCAGUGGCGAAGGCGGCUCACUGGCCCGAUACUGACGCUGAGGUGCGAAAGCGUGGGGAGCAAACAGG
rnacentral:rRNA from 1 species